rnacentral:rRNA from 1 species
UACGUAGGGUGCGAACGUUAAUCGGAAUCACUGGGCGUAAAGGGCGCGUAGGCGGCUCAUGAAGGCUGUGGUGAAAGUCCGGGGCUCAACCUCGGAUCGGCCGUGGCGACUCGUGGGCUGGAGCACUGUAGAGGCGGGUGGAAUUCCGGGUGUAGCGGUGGAAUGCGUAGAGAUCCGGAAGAACACCGGUGGCGAAGGCGGUCUGCUGGGCAGUUGCUGACACUGAGGCGCGACAGCGUGGGGAGCGAACAGG